CUGGUUGAUCCUGCCAGUAGCAUAUGCUUGUCUCAACGAUUAAGCCAUGCAUGUCUUAAGUACGCACGGCCGGUACAGUGAGAUUGUGAAUGGCUCAUUAAAUCAGUUAUGUUUCCUUUGGUCGCUCGCUCCUCUCCUACUUGGGUAACUGUGGUAAUUCUAGAGCCUAAUACAUGCUGACAGGCGCUGACCCCCAUCGUGGGGGGGAUGUGUGCAUUUAUCAGAUCAAAACCAACCUGGUCAGCCUCCUCCUGGCCUUGGCUGGGGGGCGGGCGCUGGCGGCUUUGGUGACUCUAGAUAACCUUGGGGCGAUCGCACGCCCCCUGUGGUGGCGAUGAGCCAUUUGAAUGUCUGGCCUAUCUUUUGAUGGUAGUCGCUGUGCCUACCAUGGUGACCACGGGUGAUGGGGAAUCAGGGUUCGAUUCUGGAGAGGGAGCCUGAGAAACGGUUACCACAUCCAACGAAGGCAACAGGUGUGCAAAUUGCCCACUCCGGACACGGGGAGGUAGUGAUGAAAAAUAACAGGAGUCUUUUGAGGCCCUCUAAUUGGAAUGAGUCCAGUUUAAGUCCUUCCGCGAGGAUCCAUGGGAGGGGCAAGUCUGGUGCCAGGAGCCGCGGUAAUUCCAGCCCCAGUAGCGUAUACU
rnacentral:ncRNA from 1 species